AGUGGAUAUUUCAAAUGGCGACGAGGAGUGGAUCUUUUUGGUUGGAGCCGGAGCGGCAGUUCAGAUAUUUUUAAUAUUUUUGUUGAACGCCGCAUUUGGUGAAUUCUCCCUCCAUUUAGCUUCGACUCGACCACAUCUCCUGGGUGCACUGCCGCUGAGCGAUACUUGUGAGAGUGAGCGUUGGUUUUGGAAGACGCCGUCGUCUUCGUGCAGUGUUUUCAAUGUGCCCGCUAAAGUAGACAUUAAAAAGAAUAGAUAUUGGUUGUUUUUUGGACGCUAUGUGAAAAAGUUUACAUCUU